GGCGAACGCUGGCGGCAGGCCUAACACAUGCAAGUCGAACGAACUCUUCGGAGUUAGUGGCGGACGGGUGAGUAACACGUGGGAACGUGCCUUUAGGUUCGGAAUAACUCAGGGAAACUUGUGCUAAUACCGAAUGUGCCCUUCGGGGGAAAGAUUUAUCGCCUUUAGAGCGGCCCGCGUCUGAUUAGCUAGUUGGUGAGGUAAAGGCUCACCAAGGCGACGAUCAGUAGCUGGUCUGAGAGGAUGAUCAGCCACAUUGGGACUGAGACACGGCCCAAACUCCUACGGGAGGCAGCAGCGGGGAAUCUUGCGCAAUGGGCGAAAGCCUGACGCAGCCAUGCCGCGUGAAUGAUGAAGGUCUUAGGAUUGUAAAAUUCUUUCACCGGGGACGAUAAUGACGGUACCCGGAGAAGAAGCCCCGGCUAACUUCGUG
rnacentral:rRNA from 1 species